rnacentral:tRNA from 1 species
UAUCUCAAUUGGUAAAGAAUCUGCCUGCAAUGCAGGAGACCGGGGUUCGAUCCCUG